rnacentral:rRNA from 1 species
UACGUAGGGGCCAAGCGUUGUCCGGAUUUAUUGGGCGUAAAGGGUGCGUAGGUGGUGGGGUAAGUCGGAUGUGAAAGCUCGGAGCUCAACUCCGAAAUGGCAUUGGAAACUACCCUGCUAGAGGAUUGGAGGGGGGACUGGAAUACUUGGUGUAGCAGUGAAAUGCGUAGAUAUCAAGUGGAACACCAGUGGCGAAGGCGAGUCCCUGGACAAUACCUGACACUGAGGCACGAAAGCUAGGGGAGCAAACAGG